GUCGCAAGACCAUUAGUGGCGGACGGGUGCGUAACGCGUGGGAACCUGCCUUGAAGUUCGGAAUAACUGCGGGAAACUGCAGCUAAUACCGGAUGUGGCCUGAGGGCCAAAGGGGAAACUCGCUUCAAGAGGGGCCCGCGUCCGAUUAGCUAGUUGGCGGGGUAACGGCCCACCAAGGCGAUGAUCGGUAGCUGGUCUGAGAGGACGACCAGCCACACUGGAACUGAGAUACGGUCCAGACUCCUACGGGAGGCAGCAGUGGGGAAUAUUGGACAAUGGGGGCAACCCUGAUCCAGCAAUGCCGCGUGAGUGAUGAAGGCCUUCGGGUUGUAAAGCUCUUUUGGCGGGGACGAUGAUGACGGUACCCGCAGAAUAAGCCCCGGCUAACUUCGUGCCAGCAGCCGCGGUAAUACGAAGGGGGCUAGCGUUGUUCGGAAUUACUGGGCGUAAAGGGCGCGUAGGCGGCCUUGUUAGUCGAGUGUGAAAGCCCUGGGCUUAACCCGGGAAGCGCGCUUGAUACUGCAGGGCUAGAGUGUGGGAGAGGUUGGUGGAAUUCCCAGUGUAGAGGUGAAAUUCGUAGAUAUUGGGAAGAACACCGGUGGCGAAGGCGACCAACUGGACCACAACUGACGCUGAGGCGCGAAAGCGUGGGGAGCAAACAGGAUUAGAUACCCUGGUAGUCCACGCCGUAAACGAUGUGUGCUAGACGCUGGAGGACCUAGUCUUUCGGUGUCGCAGCUAACGCUUUAAGCACACCGCCNGGGGAGUACGGCCGCAAGGU
rnacentral:rRNA from 1 species